rnacentral:ncRNA from 1 species
CCGCUCGAGGAGAGAUGCGCGCCGCACCUGCCCCGUUCGCGGGGCCGGGGAAGCCCUUCGAGCAGCGUCGCGUCGCGGUCCGGGACUGUCCUCAGUCCCGGGUCGUCUCGGCGCGGUUCCGAGCGGUCGCUCCCUCGCGAGGUGCCGCGGGUCAGCGGCUGACGCCAGCCACCUUCCCGACCCGUCUUGAAACACGGACCAAGGAGUCUAACAUGUGCGCGAGCCGCGGGGCAGUACGAAACCCGUAAGGCGAAAUGAAGGUGAACGCCGGCGCGGUCCGGCGGAGGUUGGAUCCCGUCCCGUCGGGGCGGGCGCACUACCGGCCGAUCUUCUCCGCCCUGUCGGCGAGGUCGAGCGAGAGCGUGCAAGUCGGGACCCGAAAGAUGGUGAACUAUGCCUGAGGAGGUUGAAGCCAGAGGAAACUCUGGUGGAGGACCGUAGCGAUUCUGACGUGCAAAUCGAUCGUCAAAUUUGGGUAUAGGGGCGAAAGACUAAUCGAACCGUCUAGUAGCUGGUUCCCUUCGAAGUUUCCCUCAGGAUAGCUGGCGCUCUGUCGCAGUUUUAUCUGGUAAAGCGAAUGAUUAGAGGUCUUGGGGGCGAAACGCCCUCAACCUAUUCUCAAACUUUAAAUUGGUAAGAAGCCCGACUCGCUCGUUUGGAGCCGGGCAUGGAAUGCGAGUGCCAAGUGGGCCACUCUUGGUAAGCAGGACUGGCGAUGCGGGAUGAACCGAACGCCGGGUUAAGGCGCCCGACGCGACGCUCAUC